rnacentral:rRNA from 1 species
UUUAUGGAGAGUUUGAUCCUGGCUCAGAGUGAACGCUGGCGGCGUGCCUAAUACAUGCAAGUCGAACGAUGAAGCUUCUAGCUUGCUAGAAUGCUGAUUAGUGGCGCACGGGUGAGUAACGCAUAGGUUAUGUGCCUCUUAGUUUGGGAUAGCCAUUGGAAACGAUGAUUAAUACCAGAUACUCCCUACGGGGGAAAGAUUUAUCGCUAAGAGAUCAGCCUAUGUCCUAUCAGCUUGUUGGUAAGGUAAUGGCUUACCAAGGCUAUGACGGGUAUCCGGCCUGAGAGGGUGAACGGACACACUGGAACUGAGACACGGUCCAGACUCCUACGGGAGGCAGCAGUAGGGAAUAUUGCUCAAUGGGGGAAACCCUGAAGCAGCAACGCCGCGUGGAGGAUGAAGGUUUUAGGAUUGUAAACUCCUUUUGUUAGAGAAGAUAAUGACGGUAUCUAACGAAUAAGCACCGGCUAACUCCGUGCCAGCAGCCGCGGUAAUACGGAGGGUGCAAGCGUUACUCGGAAUCACUGGGCGUAAAGAGCGCGUAGGCGGGAUAGUCAGUCAGGUGUGAAAUCCUAUGGCUUAACCAUAGAACUGCAUUUGAAACUACUAUUCUAGAGUGUGGGAGAGGUAGGUGGAAUUCUUGGUGUAGGGGUAAAAUCCGUAGAGAUCAAGAGGAAUACUCAUUGCGAAGGCGACCUGCUGGAACAUUACUGACGCUGAUUGCGCGAAAGCGUGGGGAGCAAACAGGAUUAGAUACCCUGGUAGUCCACGCCCUAAACGAUGGAUGCUAGUUGUUGGAGGGCUUAGUCUCUCCAGUAAUGCAGCUAACGCAUUAAGCAUCCCGCCUGGGGAGUACGGUCGCAAGAUUAAAACUCAAAGGAAUAGACGGGGACCCGCACAAGCGGUGGAGCAUGUGGUUUAAUUCGAAGAUACACGAAGAACCUUACCUAGGCUUGACAUUGAGAGAAUCCGCUAGAAAUAGUGGAGUGUCUAGCUUGCUAGACCUUGAAAACAGGUGCUGCACGGCUGUCGUCAGCUCGUGUCGUGAGAUGUUGGGUUAAGUCCCGCAACGAGCGCAACCCCCUUUCUUAGUUGCUAACAGGUUAUGCUGAGAACUCUAAGGAUACUGCCUCCGUAAGGAGGAGGAAGGUGGGGACGACGUCAAGUCAUCAUGGCCCUUACGCCUAGGGCUACACACGUGCUACAAUGGGGUGCACAAAGAGAAGCAAUACUGCGAAGUGGAGCCAAUCUUCAAAACACCUCUCAGUUCGGAUUGUAGGCUGCAACUCGCCUGCAUGAAGCUGGAAUCGCUAGUAAUCGCAAAUCAGCCAUGUUGCGGUGAAUACGUUCCCGGGUCUUGUACUCACCGCCCGUCACACCAUGGGAGUUGUGUUUGCCUUAAGUCAGGAUGCUAAAUUGGCUACUGCCCACGGCACACACAGCGACUGGGGUGAAGUCGUAACAAGGUAACCGUAGGUGAACCUGCGGUUGGAUCACCUCCUUUCUAGA